CCCUUAGAUGUCCGGGGCUGCACGCGCGCUACACUGACUGGCUCAGCGUGUGCCUACCCUACGCCGGCAGGCGCGGGUAACCCGUUGAACCCCAUUCGUGAUGGGGAUCGGGGAUUGCAAUUAUUCCCCAUGAACGAGGAAUUCCCAGUAAGUGCGGGUCAUAAGCUUGCGUUGAUUAAGUCCCUGCCCUUUGUACACACCGCCCGUCGCUACUACCGAUUGGAUGGUUUAGUGAGGCCCUCGGAUCGGCCCCGCCGGGGUCGGCCCACGGCCCUGGCGGAGCGCUGAGAAGACGGUCGAACUUGACUAUCGAGAGGAAGUAAAAGUCGUAACA
rnacentral:rRNA from 1 species